GGACGAACGCUGGCGGCGUGCUUAACACAUGCAAGUCGAGCGGUAAGGCCCUUUCGGGGGUACGACGAGCGGCGAACGGGUGAGUAACACGUGGGUGACCUGCCCUCAGCUCUGGGAUAAGCCUGGGAAACCGGGUCUAAUACUGGAUAUGACUCCAUGACGCAUGUUGUGGGGUGGAAAGCCUUGUGCGGCUGAGGAUGGGCCCGCGGCCUAUCAGCUUGUUGGUGGGGUGAUGGCCUACCAAGGCGACGACGGGUAGCCGGCCUGAGAGGGCGACCGGCCACACUGGGACUGAGACACGGCCCAGACUCCUACGGGAGGGCAGCAGUGGGGAAUCUUGCGCAAUGGGCGAAAGCCUGACGCAGCGACGCCGCGUGAGGGAUGACGGCCU
rnacentral:rRNA from 1 species